rnacentral:rRNA from 1 species
UACGAAAGGGGCUAGCGUUGUUCGGAAUUACUGGGCGUAAAGCGCGCGUAGGCGGCCUAGCAAGUUGGGGGUGAAAGCCCAGGGCUCAACCCGGGAAUUGCCUCCAAAACUGCUAAGCUCGAGGCCGAGAGAGGAGUGUGGAAUUCCUAGUGUAGAGGUGAAAUUCGUAGAUAUUAGGAAGAACACCGGUGGCGAAGGCGACACUCUGGUUCGGUACUGACGCUGAGGCGCGAAAGCGUGUGGAGCAAACAGG